rnacentral:lncRNA from 1 species
AUUGUACUGGUCUCUCAAAAAAAACUUGGGCAAGUAGAUUCCCAACUGCUUCCCUAUGGAGAAGAGAGAGAGACUUGGCAUUUUCUUUGCUUUGUGUGCAGGUGCCUGAUAGAUGCAUACAUCUGUACAGGAGCCUGUGCCCCAGGUAUGUUUAGGGGUCAGAGGGUGUCCUGCCUUAAUCUUCUCAGACAGGGUCUCAUUGGUCAGAGACUCACUCCCCGGGGCCACAGGCCCCUUUCUUGGCUACCUUUGAUUUUUCUGAGUCAGUCUACAUGCUUGUCUGACAAGUGUUCUUACCAUCUCUCCUUUAAGGUG